CCUACGGGAGGCAGCAGUGGGGAAUUUUGCGCAAUGGGGGCAACCCUGACGCAGCAACGCCGCGUGAGUGAUGAAGGCCUUCGGGUCGUAAAGCUCUGUCAGAGGGGAAGAAAUGCAGGUGGUGAACAACCAUUCUGUUUGACGGUACCCUCAAAGGAAGCACCGGCUAACUCCGUGCCAGCAGCCGCGGUAAUACGGAGGGUGCGAGCGUUGUUCGGAAUUAUUGGGCGUAAAGCGCGUGUAGGCGGUUUGUUAAGUCUGAGGUAAAAGCCCCGGGCUCAACCUGGGAAGUGCAUUGGAUACUGGCAGACUUGAGUACGGGAGAGGAGAGUGGAAUUCCCAGUGUAGGAGUAAAAUCCGUAGAGAUUGGGAGGAACACGGGUGGCGAAGGCGGCUCUCUGGACCGAUACUAACGCUGAAACGCGAAAGCGGGGGGAGCAAACAGAAUUAGAUCCCCUUGUAGU
rnacentral:rRNA from 1 species